UAACGCAUUCACUUGUUCAAUAGUAUAUAUUGAGCACUUACUGUGUGCCACAGUGAUCAAGGCAGACCCUGCUGUCAGGGAGAGAGAGGCAGACAGCAGGCAGAUGCCCAGGUUUGGUGGUAUCUGCAGUGAAAUGUGCCUUGAAGAAAACCAGUGCGAUGUAAAGGGGGAAUACAGGUGUGAUGCAGGGGGUCAGACACGGGACUGCGCCCUAGGCCGCCUCUGAUGGAAACUCCAAGAUUCUAUGACUUCCCUGAGAGCUCCUCUGCCAGGAAAUGCCAGCCUCAGCCUAGCGAGAGGGGGAGCCUGACCCUGCGGAUAACUCAUUUGUGGAAGGCAUUCUGGAGGAGGCAAUGAAGAGCAAACUACACUCCCAUGUUUCCACAGAGCUGUUAAAUUAGCCCAGUGAGGAGAGGGCCAUGAAUACAAAUUGCUCUAUCGCAUGAAAGCAUGUGGUUAAAUGGUACCAAAGAAAGAAAAAUCAGAAUCAGGAGGAGGAAUUUAGGAGAGCUUGA